GAUUACCUGGAGGUUACCCAGGCUGGCCCCGGUGGCUUCGUUUCGCACUAGCCUCGCUCCUAGGAUCUCCCCAGGAAGGAUCUUCCACGCACACCUACCCGACGUCGAACUCUGGAACUUCCCUGGCUGCUUCCGGACCCGGAUUCUCCAGAGACCAUUCAACCUAACCUGUCCACCCUCCACCUCUCCGCUGAUGCUUCGCCUGCACUCCAAGUAACUAAGAAAUCAUCGGACUUACCAUUGUCUCCAGUUUCACUUAUUCUCCAGUCUGAGUCCCUCUCCUCCUGGCGGAUUGCCAACUCCCUCCUAGUUUCUUCCAGUCCUGCAUUUGGCUCCACUGAUCUCCCCACCACGUCCGACCAGCUUCUUCUUCCCUGCUGAAGAAAAGCAUUCCCACAGCAUGAUGCUUCCACCAACAUGUUUCACUAUGGGCAUGGUCUCCACAUACAUAACAUUUUGGAUGUUUAUCAGAAAGUUUGAUUUUGGCUUCAUCUGACCAGAGCAUCUUCUUCCCCGUGUUUGCUUUGUCCCUUAUAUGUUUAUGACAGACUUUAAACUGUUAUUCUAACU